UACGAAGGGGGCUAGCGUUGUUCGGAAUUAUUGGGCGUAAAGGGCGUGUAGGCGGCUCUGUGUGUCCCAUGUGAAAGCCCUCGGCUCAACCGGGGAACUGCAUGGGAAACUGCGGAGCUUGAGUCCGGGAGAGGUGAGUGGAAUUCCCAGUGUAGCGGUGAAAUGCGUAGAUAUUGGGAGGAACACCAGUGGCGAAGGCGGCUCACUGGACCGGUACUGACGCUGAGACGCGAAAGCCAGGGGAGCAAACGGG
rnacentral:rRNA from 1 species